UACGUAGGGGGCAAGCGUUGUCCGGAAUCAUUGGGCGUAAAGCGCGCGUAGGCGGCCCGGUAAGUCCGUUGUGAAAGUCAAAGGCUCAACCUUUGAACGCCGAUGGAUACUGCCGGGCUAGAGUCCGGAAGAGGCGAGUGGAAUUCCUGGUGUAGCGGUGGAAUGCGCAGAUAUCAGGAGGAACACCAAUAGCGAAGGCAGCUCGCUGGGACGGUAUUGACGCUGAGACGCGAAAGCGUGGGGAGCAAACAGG
rnacentral:rRNA from 1 species